rnacentral:lncRNA from 1 species
AUGACACAAGAAACAUCAAAAUUGCAACCAACAACUUCAAAGAGGAUUGAAGGUACAUUUAAUUUACUUGAUUCUGCAACAACAGUAAGUACACCAUCAAUGCCAUCCAUUUCUGCCUCAUCAACAACAAGAACAAUGUCAACAGCUACAUCUCAACCACCAAAAAUAACAGAGAGUGAAAGUACAUCUCUUUUACCGGAAUCUACAACACCUGCAUUGACGACACUGACUCCGACAAUCCCUAACUCAACAUCAACAGUAGAUACAAAGUCGACAAUUUUAAUGACACAAGCAACAUCAAUAUUGCAACCAACAACCACAAAGAUGAUAGUUGGUUCUACAGCAACAGCAGGUACACCCUCAACUCCAUCUUUUACUGCCUCCACAACAUCAGUGACAAUGUCAAUUGCUACAUCUCAACCAACGACAAUAAAAGAGAGUAUAACUACAUCUCUUCUGCCUAAAUCUACAACACCAGUAUUCACGACAAUGACUCAGACAAUCCCUAACUCAACAACAGUAGAUACAAAGUCAACAACAUUAAUGACACAAGAAACAUCAAAAUUGCAACCAACAACUUCAAAGAUGAUUGAAAGUACAUUUCAUUUACUUGAUUCUGCAACAACAGUAAGUACACCAUCAACUCCAUCUUUUUCUGCCUUAUCAACAACAGGAACAAUGUCAACUGUUACAUCUCAACCUCCAACAUUAACAGAGAGUGAAACUACAUCUCUUUUACCAGAAUCUACAACACCGGUAUUCACGACAAUGACUCAGACAAUCCCUAACUCAGCAACAACAGUAGAUACAAAGUCAACGUUUGUAGUUACACAAUCAACAUCAAUACUGCAACCAACAACCAUUAAGUUGAUUGAAACUACAUCUCAUCUACUUGACUUAACAGCACCAGUAGGUACACCAUCAACUCCAUCUUUUUCUGCCUCAUCAACAACAGGAACAAUAUCAACUGUUACAUCUCAACCACGAGCAUUAACAGAGAGUGAAAGUAAAUCUCUUUUACCAGAAUCUACAACACCGGUAUUAACAACAAUGACUCGGACAAUCCCUAACUCAUCAACUACAGUAGAUACAAAAGCAACAUUUGUAGUUACACAACCAACAUCAAUACUGCAACCAACAACCCUUAAGUUGAUUGAAACUACAUCUCAUCUACUUGACUCAACAGCAACAGUAGGUGCACCAUCGACUCCAUCUUUUUCUGCCUCAACAACAACAGUGACAAUGUCAACUGCUACAUCUAAACCAACAACAAUAAAAGAGAGUAUAACUACAUCUCCUCUGCCAAAAUCUACAACACCAGCAUUGACGACACUGACUCAGACAAUUCAAAACUCAACAAUAACAGCAGAUACAAAGUUGACAAUCUUAAUGACACAACCAACAUCAAUUAUGCAACUAACAACCACGAAGAUGAUACUUGACUCUACAGAAACAGUAGUUACACCAUCAAAACCAUCUUUUUCUGCCUCAACAACAACAGUGACAAUGUCAACUGCUACAUCUAAACCAACAACAAUAAAAGAGAGUAUAACUACAUCUCCUCUGCCAAAAUCUACAACACCAGCAUUGACGACACUGACUCAGACAAUCCCUACCUCAACAACAACAGUAGAUACAAAGUCAACAUUUGUAGUUACACAACCAACAACCAUUAAGUUGAUUGAAACUACAUCUCAUCUACUUGACUCAACAGCAACAGUAGGUACACCAUCAACUCCAUCUUUUUCUGCCUCAACAUCAACAGUGACAAUGUCAACUGCUACAUCUCAACCAACUUUAACAGAGAGUGAAAGUACAUCUCUUUUACCAGAAUCUACAACACCUGCAUUGACAAGACUGACUCUGACAAUCCCUAACUCAACAACAACAGUAGAUACAAAGUCGGCAAUUUUAAUGACUCAAGCAACAUCAAUAUAUCAACCAACAACAACAAAGAUGAUAUUUGAUUCUACAGCAACAGCAGGUACACCAUCAACUCCAUCUUUUUCUACCUCAACAACAUCAGUGACAAUGUCAACUGCUACAUCUCAACCAACGACAAUAAAAGAGAGUAUAACUACAUCUCUUUUGCCAAAAUCUACAACACCAGCAUUGACGACACUGACUCAGACAAUUCAAAACUCAACAAUAACAGCAGAUUCAAAGUCGACAAUUUUAAUGACACAACCAACAUCAUUUAUGCAACCAACAACCACAAAGAUGAUACUUGACUCUACAGCAAAAGCAGGAACACCAUCAACUCCAUCAUUUACUGCCUCCAUAACAACAGUGACAAUGUCAACUGCUACAUCUAAACCAACAAGCAUUGGACAGAGUGAAACUACAUCACUUCUGCUAAAAUCUACAACACCAGUGUUUACGACACAGACUCAGAUAAUCCUUAACUCUUCAACUAAAGUAGAUACAAAAACAGCAUUUGCAGUUGCACAACCAACAUAUACACUGCAACCAACAAAGUUGCUUGAAACUACAUCCCAUCUGUUUGACUCUACAACAAAGGAAGGUACACCAUCAACCCCAUAUUUUACUGCCUCAACAACAGUGACAAUGCCAGAUGCUACAUUUAAACCCACAACCACAAAACAUAGUCAAACUACAUCAUCUCUGGUUCACCUUACAACGCCAGUGGGGACGACACAGAUUCAGACAGUCUCUGUUUCAUCAAAAUCAGAAGAUAAAAAGUCAACAACUGUAGUAACAGGACCAGCAUCGACAUUGCAACCUACAUCUUCUUUUCAUAUGACAACCAAAGUGGGUACACAGUCAGCAAUCUCAUCGUCUACAUUUAACGCAACAACCACAAAGCUGAUUCAAACUCUUCUGAACCCUACACUAACACUGGGGACAACACCAAUUACAACUGUGAUUCACUCAACUACCACAAGGCCCACAUUCAGUACAACUGCACGUACCCCAAUGACGUCUUCAGCUCCAACGACAGCUGCUACUUCUAAAACAACCACAACUGUAAAUCCCACCACAAAUACAGCCAUUGUACAUCCUUUACCAUUGGUUGAACUGGUCUUUAUCCUGGUAAUUGAAUAUGUACCUCAACUCAGUGAUAAAAACAGUAGAGAAUUUCAGCAGAAGGCCAAAGAAGUUACAUCUGUGGUAAGAAAUUAAUAUGCAAUGAAUACUACUUGAACGUUUUGAAUUUUCUUACUAAUUACUUUGUGCUUUAUUUUCUGUUAAAAUCUUAUAGCUUGAUAUUAUCUACCAAAGGAAGUAUGGAAACAUUUUUGUACAGACAGUUGUUAUAUCCUUCAAGUAAGUUUGACUUUCUUUGUAUAUCUGAUAAAAUUCAAUAAGGCUUAAAGGAGUCUACGAGAUUCUUCAGCUGAUUCUGAUAAAAUGUUAUAUUUGUCAGUAAAAUUGUGGGGAAAAAAAGAGCUCUCGAAAACGUUCAGACACAAGUGGAGCUGGAAUUCAACGACAAUUCAGCAGAGCCCCUCCCAGAAAGCACAAGCAUUGAAAUGACUUUGAAAAAUGCAGUGACUGAUCCGGUCCUAAACAUCACUCUUCCAAUAAUUGUCAACUCUGUAUCAGUCACAAGUAAGCCUAAACUCUAUUUACCUCUGUCUAGAUAAAAAAUUAUUAAUUUUCUUGUGAAACCAUGGCAUCAAAUAACCAUACUUUCUUUGGUUCCCCAGAAAUUCCCCAGAUGGUAAUGAAUCUGCCAUUCCGCACAAAUGAGACAUUUGAUCCUGAUCUGCUCAUUUCAAAUUCAUCAGCAUUCAAGGACAGAUCAUCACUUAUUAAAAAUGAGGCAAGCACUGUCUCAUAUUUUAAAAAAAAACAGGCUUGUGUGAAUGAGACUUGGCAUCUGGUUUUGGCAUCUGACUUUUAUCUGAUUUUGGCAUCUAGCUUGAUCCAUUUUUCUUUGAAGACUACACUCCAGAUUACAUUGGUCUGGCUGUACUGAACUACAGGUAUUUUCCAUAUACUGUUCAUGUACACUAUUUCAGUGUUUUUUAUCAUUACAAUCAUGAUUGAAACCUUUUGCAACUGGAACAGUAACAUUUAGCUUCACAAUUCUUUUUUUUUUUUUUCCAGCAACGGAUCUAUAAUCUACAAUACCAUUCUGACCUUCACCAACAAUUCCACUUUACCAAAUAACACAUCCAUUUUCCAGACAUUGCUGAGAGCAGCAAGAAGUGGAAAUCUGUCAUUCACCAUGAUCUCCAUAAACAACACAGGUACAUUUCUAAGCAGUUUGUCACGACAUGGGGUGCAACGGGGAAUGAAGCGCUAGAGCAGGACAUUGUGGAACAACAAAGGCAUUUACUAAAUAUUAAUACAACGCUACUAAAUAUUAAUACAAAGGAACAUAAAGGAAAGAACUUCAAGCAAUCCAAAGGCAAGUGGCAUAAGGCCGUAAACUUGAACGUCAGGUAAGGUAAAUGUCCACAUUAAUCGGCCGCGCCGACUGACUGCCCUUAUGGAGUUCUGAUCAAUCUCGCCUAAUUGGUUUCAGCUCGGAUUGAUCAGGACUGCAUAAUCAGGUGCCUUGGCACACCAUUUUAGGCAUGGUGCACACGGAAAACGUUUUUCUCUGAAACGGUAACAUUUCUGUCCGAUCUGUCCACACGGAGACGGCGUUUCAGGGGCCCCAGAAUGGUUAUUCUCUCUUUUCUGAAUCUCCGUGUGGACGAGCAUUUUUUUUGUAAGAAUGCUGAUUUAAUUGGUGAAACCAUUCUUGGACCGCACAAGCCAUAGAAAAUAAUGAGUUUCAGGUCAAAGCAAAGCUCUUGCCACAUACGGCUUGAAAGCAGCUUUAUUGCCGCAUCGGCUCUGCCGCAUAUCUCUGACGCAUCAGCCCAAACUCCCCUCCAACCUGACCUAUGGUUUAAAAACUCAUUACACAUACACCAAUGGCAGAUAACACGUACAUGGUUGUGCUGCAGCGGCUGCAGAACCUCAUAAUGAAACUACAAGAACUCCUCUCUGAAAAGAGCUAGAUGCGAAACAAGACGCGAGAUUGGGGAGUUACAGCGCCACAGCAUAUGGGACAUUAUCUGAAUCUCCGUAUGGAUGACAACAAUUCAGAUAAUGCUCUGUGUGUCCACACGGAAACCAAAUACCUGUUCUAAGGAAAAUCAUUUUCAUGCUAUUGCAUCUAAAGGGAAGCUGUAUAUUUUAGUGUUUUACUAAAGGCAUAUUAGAUAAAUACAGAAUGUUUAUCUAAUCAAAACUAUUAAAAUAUCAUCUACAAUUAAAUUGAGCUAUGUCAUGGUUUUGUUUUUCUUUUUUUUUUAUUGUCAGAGAGAAGGUGGAUGGAAUCAAUCUAGGAAAAAGUUCAGUUAAAAACAUUGUGAAACAUUAUUAAAGCAUUAAACUAACUGUUUGUACAUAUACAUAUAUAAUAUAUGCAAAUAUCACCAAUAAGUAAACAGAAACAUCAGCUUAUGAGCUUUAUGAGUUACACUGUGCAAGGAUAAUAUAAAUGUACAUUUCACUGAAUGUGCAUUUCCCUUCACAGAUCUGUUUAGUACUGGGUCUACCACGGUGUCUACUAGUACCAGCUACAGUACCAAUACCUCAACAGGACCAUCCAGCAAAGCCAGCACAAUCAGUCAGGUCACGACCUUCAUUUCCAUGGUCUUUUCACUGCUGGUGACAAGGCAGUGGUAAGAUCCAUCACUCCAUCGCUGUCAAUCAUUCUUACCUUCAUGUGUUAGAACACCCCUCCUGAUUGGGGAUUCCUUUAUCUGUGCAUCAUUAUGCUUUGCCUGUUCUAAUUACUUAUUGCACUUUAAAAGCAAGGGUGAAGAAUACAUUUAAGAAGAAUAAUUUUAUUUGAUCAAAAAGCUACUGUAAUGACUGUCACUCACUGAAAUAUACUUUUUAUAAAUCACCACACUGCUCAUGGGAACUUGUUACAGGGAACUACAUUCCAACCUUUCAGUUGUUAAUGAUCUCUGUAAUAAACAAAUUCUGUGGUAGUUUGCUUUGAUGAAA